CACGUAGGCGGACUCUUAAGUCAGGGGUGAAAUCCUGGAGCUCAACUCCAGAACUGCCCUUGAUACUGGGAGCCUUGAGUUCGGGAGAGGUGAGUGGAACUGCGAGUGUAGAGGUGAAAUUCGUAGAUAUUCGCAAGAACACCAGUGGCGAAGGCGGCUCACUGGCCCGAUACUGACGCUGAGGUGCGAAAGCGUGGGAGCAAACA
rnacentral:rRNA from 1 species